rnacentral:rRNA from 1 species
AACGAACGCUGGCGGCAGGCCUAACACAUGCAAGUCGAACGCUGCAGCAAUGCAGAGUGGCAGACGGGUGAGUAACACGUGGGAAUCUUCCUAUCGGUACGGAAUAGCUCAGGGAAACUUGGGGUAAUACCGUAUACGCCCUUACGGGGAAAGAUUUAUUGCCGAUAGAUGAGCCCGCGUCUGAUUAGCUAGUUGGUGAGGUAAUGGCUCACCAAGGCGACGAUCAGUAGCUGGUCUGAGAGGAUGACCAGCCACACUGGGACUGAGACACGGCCCAGACUCCUACGGGAGGCAGCAGUGGGGAAUAUUGGACAAUGGGCGCAAGCCUGAUCCAGCCAUGCCGCGUGAGUGACGAAGGUCUUCGGAUUGUAAAGCUCUUUUGGCGGGGACGAUAAUGACGGUACCCGCAGAAUAAGCCCCGGCUAACUUCGUGCCAGCAGCCGCCGUAA